AGAGUUUGAUCCUGGCUCAGGACGAACGCUGGCGGCGUGCUUAACACAUGCAAGUCGAACGGAAAGGCCCUUCGGGGUACUCGAGUGGCGAACGGGUGAGUAACACGUGGGUGAUCUGCCCUGCACUUUGGGAUAAGCCUGGGAAACUGGGUCUAAUACCGAAUAGGACCGCGCUCUUCAUGGGGUGUGGUGGAAAGCUUUUGCGGUGUGGGAUGGGCCCGCGGCCUAUCAGCUUGUUGGUGGGGUAAUGGCCUACCAAGGCGACGACGGGUAGCCGGCCUGAGAGGGUGACCGGCCACACUGGGACUGAGAUACGGCCCAGACUCCUACGGGAGGCAGCAGUGGGGAAUAUUGCACAAUGGGCGCAAGCCUGAUGCAGCGACGCCGCGUGAGGGAUGACGGCCUUCGGGUUGUAAACCUCUUUCAAUAGGGACGAAGCGCAAGUGACGGUACCUAUAGAAGAAGCACCGGCCAACUACGUGCCAGCAGCCGCGGUAAUACGUAGGGUGCGAGCGUUGUCCGGAAUUACUGGGCGUAAAGAGCUCGUAGGUGGUUUGUCGCGUUGUUCGUGAAAACUCACAGCUUAACUGUGGGCGUGCGGGCGAUACGGGCAGACUAGAGUACUGCAGGGGAGACUGGAAUUCCUGGUGUAGCGGUGGAAUGCGCAGAUAUCAGGAGGAACACCGGUGGCGAAGGCGGGUCUCUGGGCAGUAACUGACGCUGAGGAGCGAAAGCGUGGGGAACGAACAGGAUUAGAUACCCUGGUAGUCCAA
rnacentral:rRNA from 1 species